GGAAGAAGCACUGGGCAGAAAAUAGGAUGCAGCAAGAUGAAUGUGUAAAGGAAAAAUGAAAAAAGUUGCGUUUGGUGGGAGGCGCUGCCACCCCGCCGUCUACAGAAUGAGAGAGAGCGGAGGGGUGUUUCGUUUGGCUGCUAAUCACCUGGAACACACCGGCUCACCUUCAAAGCGCGGCGGAGAAACCCUUACCUGGAGCGCGCAAGAGCUAGCAUGCGCCGGGCUUAGCGGAUCUCACGUGUGUCUUGUCUGGACGCGUGCUGAAGGAGUCUUUAAUACCGAGCUCUGGUUAAUGCUCUUCUGCUGUGUUUCAAAGCGUUUCCUUAAGUGCUGCAUAAUUAUAUAGACACGAUAUAAUCAAGUACUUUUACUGAUGUGAAAUGGGUGGAAACAAGCAGUCGAAGCU